GGGUGGAAAAAGCUUUGGGUUCCACCCAGCUGCUUGGAAGCUGUGGUUGGAGGUGGGUGGAGCAAGGCAGGGCCAGGUGCCUGUGCCACUGGGGUGACAAUGAGGAGAGGUGAGGUGGGGGUGUCCCUGGCACCGACCUCCCUGGGAUGGGCUGUGAGCUGGGGCAGGAGGGAGGAGAGUGGGGACCUGUGCCAAGGUGCCAGGCACCGCCAUCUCCCUGUGCCUGAGAGGGGACUUUGGAAGCAGCAAGACCUGUCCUCUGUCCUGUGUCACCUUCACAGCCCCUUCUGUGCUUUGGUAUGCAAAGACUGCAGGAAAACUCUCCGUGCUGGGACAGGGGAUGCAUCCUUCCCUGGGGGAGCGCUGUGCUGAGGCUCAGGAAGGGAGAGGCUGUGAGGGUCACCUCUGUGAACUCAGCAGAGCGUUGGGCAAUAAGGAAGCGAAGUAAAGCGACUGAAAAAACCCCAAGGGAGCAACGUCACAGCAUUGCACCAGUGUGCCUGGGUGCUAUGCACUGAGUCACCUGCGGCCGGGCAGUGUGCCUGGCCUGGAUUGUCCCCAAAGGGCUGCGGGAGGGGACACGUUGCUGUGCACCUCGUGCUGGGGCCAGGAGAUGUGCUGAGGCUGUUUGCAGCUGCUUAUUUGAGAGCUCUCAGCCGGGCAUGCAGCUCAUGGGCACAAACCAUGUGUCUGAAAUCCACCUGUCCCAUUGCCACCUCCAUGACACAGUGCCACCAGCCUGGAGCUCACUGCCUGCAGCGCUGCCAUUCCCAGCACGAACAGCAGAGGCCAGGCCACAAUCGCUGCAGGCCCUGAAGCUGUUCCCUGCAGCAGCAGCAGAGGAUGCUCGGCCUCUCCCACCGCCCAGCAGCUGCUUGGCACUUGUGUCCAUCCCAUACAGACGUGUGUCCCAUACGAGUGCCAAGCGCGGUGGCACAGCUGUCACCCCCCCCCCCCCCCCCAGCCCAUGUGGGAUGCAUUGUCACAGCGAUCUGACGUCCCCCAGAGAGCCCACCCCCACCUUCCUCCCAUCUGUACCCCCUUCGCCGCCGCUCCCUCCUCCGUCAGCCUGCAGUGGGAAAGCACUCGGAAAUCAGACAUCAAAUGCAACAGCAGACAGGCUGGUGGGAGUUUCUCCUUUGGGUUUUCCUCCUCUUCCAUUGCUUUCCCAAAGAACAAACCGAGGGGAAGGCACUGGGGUGAUUCAGCAGAGCAGGAAGGCUCAGGGGCUGCCCCCUUGGUGCUCUCACAGGGCCUCGUGUCGGCCGUGGGGGGUUUCUUCCCUCUGUAAAUGGCUCUGAUAAGGCUGGGAAUAGCCCGGCAGUGCAGGGAGGCUCUGCCUGGUGCCCGCUGCGAUGGGAUGGCGCAGGGAGGAGGAAGGAUUGCAGCAGGCACACGGCAGCACAGAGGGGCUGAUCUUUGAGGAGCAGCGUUCCUCGCCUGCUGCUAUUUACCUGCCUUCCCAAGGCUCCUCCUGCACAGCCCAACCAUGCCUGGUGCUGCCAGCCCCGCUCCGUGCCUCAGAGCUGCUGAAUGGCUUUGCACCAUUGCCCUGAAUCAAAUCCCUGCGCUGUCCUGCUUGGAUGCGGAAACACCGCCGUGCAGCAGAGCUGGUGGUUAUUUUAUUUGAGGAUCUGUUUGGAUGAUCAGCCUCGAAGCUGCCUGAACGCACAAACAGCAUCUGCCAGGUGGUCCUCCGAAGCUUUGCCUUAAAGCAAAUAUACCGCCAAUUUUUUAUUAAGGAAAAGGAUUCAUAAUAAACAUUAAUAAAUCCCGGGGAAUGCUGAAACUCCCAUCUUCCCCACACCGAGCACAGUGACGGGCUGAGAGCUGCUGCAGAGCGAGGGGCUGCUCCAUGUCCCAGUAAUCCUCACUCUGUAUCCCAGUUAUCCUCACUCCAUAUCCCAAUUAUCCCCACUCCAUAUCCCAGUUAUCCCCCUCUCCAUACCCCAGUUAUCCCCAUUUCAUAUCCCAGUUAUCCCCCUCUCCAUACCCCACUAUCUCCCUCUCCAUAUCCCAGUUAUCCCCCUCUCCAUAUCCCAGUUAUCCCCAUUCUGUAUCCCAAUUAUCCCCUCUCCAUAUCCCAAUUAUCCCCUCUCCAUAUCCCAGUUACCCCCACUCCAUAUCCCAGUUAUCCCCACUCCAUAUCCCAGUUACCCCCUCUCCAUAUCCCAGUUAUCCCCAUUCCAUAUCCCAGCUAUCUCCCUCUCCAUAUCCCAAUUAUCCCCACUCCAUAUCCCAGUUAUCCCCUUUCAUAUCCCAGCUAUCUCCCUCUCCAUAUCCCAAUUGUCCCCUCUCCAUAUCCCAAUUGUCCCCACUCCAUAUCCCAGUUACCCCCACUCCAUAUCCCAGUUAUCCCCUCUCCACAUCCCAGUUCUCCCCACUCCUCCCAGCCUGGGGACAACAUGAGGGCUCUCCCAUGGGGUAGGACAAGGAGGAUGCAGCUGGCUGCCCUCCCUGAGCCCCCUCCUGUCCUCAGCUCAGCACCCAGGAGAGGAGGAAACCUGGCUGCAAAUAUGCCCGGAGGAUUUUUCUAUCUGUGAUGCUCACUUCCCUCCCUUGGCGCUGCUCUCGCAUCCCUCGGCUGCCAAACCGCUGGGAAUUAAUCCCGUGCUGACAGCGUUUACAUUGGGCUCUGCUCAGAUAAACCAUAUCAGAGGUGGAGCCGGGCGAGGAAGGAAGGGUCGCGCUCCUGCUUAGUGUCAGCCCGGCUGCUCCCCAUCGCUGCAGCACGGAGCUGCUGGGAUGGGGAGAGCACAGCACCCAAACCCUGCGGGGCUGAGGGCUUCUCUUGCACCUUACCUCAAUGUACAAUGGAGAAAAGAAGGGAAAUGUUCUUCAGGUCAACAGGAGCCUGUGGGCUUGGUCUGCAGCCCCAUGGCACGUGGGACAUGGGGACCAGCGUCCCCCAGCAUCUGGUUUGGAUCUUAGCAUCCAUGCUCUGCACAUGGAGGGCUUCUUCAAGGGCUGGUUUUAAUGAGUGUUCGCACAGCACAGCUCUUGCAGACUUCAUCUUUCCCUGGUAGGAGUAUUCCUGUUUCUCUUCUCUCCAUCUGGAGAUGGAGGUGGAUGGAGAUGGAGACGGAGAUGGAGACGGAGAUGAGGUGAGAUGGAGAUGGAGAUGAAUGGAGACAGAUAUGAACGUGAGAUGGAGAUGGUGAUGCAGGUGGAGAUGGAGAUGGAGAUGGUGAUGCAGGUGGAGAUGGAGAUGGAAAUGGAGAUGUGCCAGCCCGGAGCCCACACCUGCAGGGACCCUAUGGCCAGAUGGACACCUGGGAACACAAACCCAUGCCAUGGCCAAGAUACCAAAAUCCCCCUCCCUCUAUCCCUCUGCCCAUAUCUACCAUCCUUCACCACAUCACUGGGGUGGUUCCUAACAUCUCCUUGGCCAAGGGUUCCUCCUGCAAAGCAGCAUCCCAGGGCUGUGCCACCUGGCAGCUUUGGGGCUCCCUGGGGCCCUCUUCCUGCACCGCAUCCCAUCCCCUGCCUGUGGGGUCCGGGUCACGGCGCAGUCGUCACAGCCACCCCAGUGAUGGGAGCCAGGGGUAAAUAUUAGUACAAAGUGAAGGGCUGUGUAAAUAUUAUCUCUCUGCAAGGUAUUGCUGAAGUUCCCGGCUCCUUUGUCAACAGCCUCUAGGAAAUAACAGCGCGUUGCUGGUGAUCUCCAGGCUGCGCUGGUUCUUGUCUCAGAGCAGUGUGCCAAAGGUGGGGAGCAUCGUGGCCCCACCGCAGCUCCAGGUCCC
ensembl:lncRNA